CGAUAAAUUUGGAAUAUUUUGCAAACAUAUUAAUAGUCGGUUUGGAUAAAUCCAUGCCAACAUGAAAAGAUACUAAAAAGGUCAUUUUUCAAAGCAGAUGUCACCGACAUGUCGAGACCACAUUUAGACAUGGUGGAUAAAUUUGGAAUAUUUUGCAAACAUAUUCAUAGUCGGUUUGGAUAAAUCCACGCCAACAUGAAAAGAUACUAAAAAGGUCAUUUUUCAAAGCAGAUGUUGCCGACAUGUCGAGACCACAUUUAGACAUGGUGGAUAAAUUUGGAAUAUUUUGCAAACAUAUUAAUAGUCGGUUUGGUUAAAUCCACGCCAACAUGAAAAGAUACUACAAAGGUCAUUUUUCAAAGCAGAUGUCACCGACAUGUCGAGACCACAUUUAGACAUGGUGGAUAAAUUUGGAAUAUUUUGCAAACAUAUUCAUAGUCGGUUUGGAUAAAUUGACGCCAACAUGAAAAGAUACUAAAAAGGUCAUUUUUCAAAGCAGAUGUCACCGACAUGUCAAGACCACAUUUAGACAUGGUGGAUAAAUUUGGAAUAUUUUGCAAACAUAUUAAUAGUCGGUUUGUAUAAAUCGACGCCAACAUGAAAAGAUACUAAAAAGGUCAUUUCUCAAAGCAGAUGUCACCGACAUGUCGUGACCACAUUGGGACAAGGUGGAUAAAUUUGGAAUAUUUUGCAAACAUAUUAAUAGUCGGUUUGGAUAAAUCCACGCCAACAUGAAAAGAUACUAAAAAGGUCAUUUUUCAAAGCAGAUGUCACCGACAUGUCGAGACCACAUUUAGACAUGGUGGAUAAAUUAGGAAUAUUUUGCAAACAUAUUAAUAGUCGGUUUGGAUAAAUCCACGCCAACAUGAAAAGAUACUAAAAAGGUCAUUUUUCAAAGCAGAUGUCGCCGACAUGUCGAGACCACAUUUAGACAUGGUGGAUAAAUUUGGAAUAUUUUGCAAACAUAUUAAUAGUCAGUUUGGAUAAAUCCACGUCA
rnacentral:lncRNA from 1 species